GCCGGCGUAGCUCAAUGGUGGAGCAAGCGCUUCGUAAGCGCUAGGUUGUCAGUUCGAGUCUGACCGCCGGCUCCA
rnacentral:tRNA from 1 species